UACGUAGGGUGCAAGCGUUAAUCGGAAUUACUGGGCGUAAAGCGUGCGCAGGCGGUUAUGCAAGACAGAUGUGAAAUCCCCGGGCUCAACCUGGGAACUGCAUUUGUGACUGCAAGGCUAGAGUACGGCAGAGGGGGAUGGAAUUCCGCGUGUAGCAGUGAAAUGCGUAGAUAUGCGGAGGAACACCAAUGGCGAAGGCAAUCCCCUGGGCCUGUACUGACGCUCAUGCACGAAAGCGUGGGGAGCAAACAGG
rnacentral:rRNA from 1 species